rnacentral:tRNA from 1 species
GGUCUGGUAGUUCAGCUGGUUAGAAUGCCGCCCUGUCACGGCGGAGGUCGCGGGUUCGAGUCCCGUCCAGACCGC